rnacentral:miRNA from 1 species
GGUUGGCCAAAAAGUUCGUUCAGGUUUUCUAUAAGAUGUUACAGAAAAACCCAAACUAACUUUUUGGCCAGCCCAAU